rnacentral:rRNA from 1 species
GAUGAACGCUGGCGGCGUGCCUAAUACAUGCCAGUCGAGCGAACAGACGAGGAGCUUGCUCCUCUGACGUUAGCGGCGGACGGGUGAGUAACACGUGGAUAACCUACCUAUAAUACUGGGAUAAUUUCGGGAAACCGGAGCUAAUACCGGAUAAUAUAUUGAACCGCAUGGUUCAAUAGUGAAAGACGGUUUUGCUGUCACUUAUAGAUGGAUCCGCGCUGCAUUAGCUAGUUGGUAAGGUAACGGCUUACCAAGGCAACGAUGCGUAGCCGACCUGAGAGGGUGAUCGGCCACACUGGAACUGAGACACGGUCCAGACUCCUACGGGAGGCAGCAGUAGGGAAUCUUCCGCAAUGGGCGAAAGCCUGACGGAGCAACGCCGCGUGAGUGAUGAAGGUCUUCGGAUCGUAAAACUCUGUUAUUAGGGAAGAACAAAUGUGUAAGUAACUAUGCACGUCUUGACGGUACCUAAUCAGAAAGCCACGGCUAACUACGUG